UGGGGAAUUUUGGACAAUGGGCGAAAGCCUGAUCCAGCAAUGCCGCGUGUGUGAAGAAGGCCUUCAGGUUGUAAAGCACUUUUGUCCGGAAAGAAAUCCUUGGCUCUAAUACAGUCGGGGGAUGACGGUACCGGAAGAAUAAGCACCGGCUAACUACGUGCCAGCAGCCGCGGUAAUACGUAGGGUGCAAGCGUUAAUCGGAAUUACUGGGCGUAAAGCGUGCGCAGGCGGUUUGCUAAGACCGAUGUGAAAUCCCCGGGCUCAACCUGGGAACUGCAUUGGUGACUGGCAGGCUAGAGUAUGGCAGAGGGGGGUAGAAUUCCACGUGUAGCAGUGAAAUGCGUAGAGAUGUGGAGGAAUACCGAUGGCGAAGGCAGCCCCCUGGGCCAAUACUGACGCUCAUGCACGAAAGCGUGGGGAGCAAACAGGAUUAGAUACCCUGGUAGUCCACGCCCUAAACGAUGUCAACUAGUUGUUGGGGAUUCAUUUCCUUAGUAACGUAGCUAACGCGUGAAGUUGACCGCCUGGGGAGUACGGUCGCAAGAUUAAAACUCAAAGGAAUUG
rnacentral:rRNA from 1 species